AGGGCGCUUCCCCCGCGGUUUGUCAGGCAUCUGCAGGUCCCGGAAGCGCCUUCGUCUUACGCGGGAUCCACCUCUACUUCAUUCUCCCCGCCGGCCUCCUCACUCCAGCCCCUGCCCUUGAAGAACCCCACUCCUCCUCGCUGCCUGCCGGGGUUCGGAGUCGCUUGGCAGAGCCUGGGGCUGUGGGGGCUGCGCCACAGUGCACGGGGCCGCCCGCCUGCCUGGUCUUCUGGAGCUGAGGACUCGGGAAGCCAUGCAGUUGAGGCGUGCCUUGGGCUGCUUUAGGGGCGCUGACAGCCGAGGAGCGUUUUCCUGGGUAUGCUGCACCUUCGCAGACUCACCAGGCUGCCAGCGGAGCUUCAGAGCUGAGUGGGGGCAGUGAGCAGGAGGCUAGGGGCAGGGAGCCCGGGCUGAGAAAGGGGUAACAUGCUUCCCCUCCUUCCUUGCAAAGCGUGAGAGCCAGUGAUAUGCAGGGAGAAACUCAGAAGGCUCGGCGCCUUUUCUGCUACUCAUCCCACAGAAGAAACACAAUGCCAAAGAAAGGAGCAAUGCUUCCUACACUCACGGAACCGUGGGUGACAAGAACGCCUCGAAAAGGCCAGACUUGAGCCGAAGGAUUGAAUGAUCAACGUUUGGGAGAAGUGAAAGAAGAGGGCAUAGAGCUGCCAGGCAGGACCGCCAGUUGGGAGGGGCCCAGCCUUGGGGCCUCCCCACACCUAUCUUCUUGGAAGGAGCUGGAUGUCGCUGAAGGAAAGUCGAAAAAUGAAAAAGGAUAACCUUUUCCCUUUCCCCAUCCAGGAAAUAGCUGAAGGAGGCCCUACAGCUGAAGUGAGCCCACGCAGCUCAGGGGAAGACCUGACGGGUGCUAAGGCCACCCUGGAAUGCCAAGUCCGAGUUGUAUUUUUUAAAGAGAUCGAGUGGAUGAGGCUGUGACAUUGGCCCUGACGACCGGUUUCCCAAGAGCUGUUCUUUCUCAGGAGCUCCACAAAGCAGAGCCAUCUCCAGAAAGCAGUCUUCAGCAUGUAUUUCUUUUUAUCCUCAACCCAGAGCCCCACGGCAGCUAAUGCAAAAGGCCAAAAUGUUUUGAAGGAAGAAAAACAAAGGCAGGAAGUGGCGGCGGCCUGACGGUGCGUGUAUGUCUGCGGAGAAGGGAGGGAGCCAUUUCAAUCUCUUCUUGUUGUUUUUCCAAACUUCAAGGUCUAGGCAGCCCUCACAGGGCCGGGCCCUUUCGUUCCCCAAGCAGCGUUUGGAGAUGGCCACCCGGAGAGGAGAAGGCUGGCUCCCGCGCGCCAGCCCUGUCAGGCGGAAACGGCUAACGAGGCGAUUUGCUCAGCAAAGCAGACCAAGCCUUUGCAAGGCUCUGUUUGAUUUGGUCCUAAAUGGGGGGUGGAGGGUGGGUUGGGGGGUUCAGCAGCACCUCCCGGAUCUUCCUGCUGGGGCUGAAUGCGCCUUGGUGGAGAGGAUUCCUGCGUCCUACACUCCACUCACCUUCCCAGGCAAGAUACUGGAAUAAAUUGUGUCCAGGUGCCUCUG